rnacentral:rRNA from 1 species
UACGUAGGGGGCAAGCGUUGUUCGGAAUAACUGGGCGUAAAGGAUGCGUAGGCGGUUAAACAAGUUAUAUGUUAAAUAUAUAGGCUUAACCUGUAGAAAGCAUAUAAAACUGUUUAACUAGAGUGCAGGAGAGGUAAGUGGAAUUCCUAGUGUAGCGGUGAAAUGCGUAGAGAUUAGGAAGAACACCAGUGGCGAAGGCGACUUACUGGACUGUAACUGACACUGAGGCAUGAGAGCAUGGGGAGCAAACAGG